rnacentral:rRNA from 1 species
UACGUAGGGACCAAGCGUUGUUCGGAUUUACUGGGCGUAAAGGGCGCGUAGGCGGCAAUUCAAGUCAGCUGUGAAAUCUCCGGGCUUAACUCGGAACGGUCAGCUGAUACUGUUUUGCUAGAGUGCAGAAGGGGCAAUCGGAAUUCUCGGUGUAGCGGUGAAAUGCGUAGAUAUCGAGAGGAACACCUGAGGUGAAGACGGGUUGCUGGGCUGACACUGACGCUGAUGCGCGAAAGCCAAGGUAGCAAACGGG